GCUGCGGUAGUUCAGUUGGGUAGAAGUUUGACUAUGGCUCCAAGGGUCACAAGUUCAAUCCCCGCUUGACCCA